GAUGAACGCUGGCGGCGUGCCUAAUACAUGCAAGUCGAGCGAACGGACGAGAAGCUUGCUUCUCUGAUGUUAGCGGCGGACGGGUGAGUAACACGUGGAUAACCUACCUAUAAGACUGGGAUAACUUCGGGAAACCGUAGCUAACACCGGAUAAUAUUUUGAACCGCAUGGUUCAACAGUGAAAGACGGUUCUGCUGUGCCUUAUACAUGGAUCCGCGCUGCAUUAGCUAGUUGGUAAGGUAACGGCUUACCAAGGCAACGAUGCAUAGCCGACCUGAAAGGGUGAUCGGCCACACAGGACAGGAGACACGGUCCGGGCUCCUAGGGGAGGCAGAAGUAGGGAAUCUUCCGAAAUGGGCGAAAGCCUGACGGAGCAACGCCGCGUGGGUAAUGAAGGUCUUCGGAUCGUAAAACGCUGAUGUUGGGGGAAAACAUAUGUAUAAGUAACUGUGCACAUCUUGACGGUACCAAAGAAGAAAGCCAGGGCAAACUACGU
rnacentral:rRNA from 1 species